AUUUCGCAUUGAAAUUUUGGUUUGAUUCGGUCCUAUAAAUAUAGAACCUCAUCGAUUAAAAGGGAAUCAGGUAAUUCGUUUUUCGAAGAAUCCUGAGCUGUUCCCGCAACUGUAAGCUAAGUCCCUAUUUUAUUUGGGAUGCCUGUUGUUACUACUUCUUAAACCACUGUCCCCUUUAAACCGGGAUGGGAAGGUAAACACCAGGACGCAAGCCAGGAGACCUGCCACAAUUCACUAAUGUCAA
rnacentral:ncRNA from 17 species